UGGGGAAUUUUGGACAAUGGGCGCAAGCCUGAUCCAGCCAUGCCGCGUGCGGGAAGAAGGCCUUCGGGUUGUAAACCGCUUUUGUCAGGGAAGAAACGGUCUGGGCUAAUACCCUGGACUAAUGACGGUACCUGAAGAAUAAGCACCGGCUAACUACGUGCCAGCAGCCGCGGUAAUACGUAGGGUGCAAGCGUUAAUCGGAAUUACUGGGCGUAAAGCGUGCGCAGGCGGCUUUGCAAGACAGAUGUGAAAUCCCCGGGCUCAACCUGGGAACUGCAUUUGUGACUGCAAGGCUAGAGUACGGUAGAGGGGGAUGGAAUUCCGCGUGUAGCAGUGAAAUGCGUAGAUAUGCGGAGGAACACCGAUGGCGAAGGCAAUCCCCUGGACCUGUACUGACGCUCAUGCACGAAAGCGUGGGGAGCAAACAGG
rnacentral:rRNA from 1 species